AUCCUGUUGGGGAAGGGGGGUUUCCUGGGCCCCCGAGAGCACAGGGAUGCCCAGUUCUGGAGCUGCACCCAGGAGGCUUCAGCUGUGCCUGGGAGCACGGACUCCUGCCCUGCCCUGCUGACUCGGCAGGAGGUGUAGCUCCUGCCUGUUCCUGUCCCACCGUCUCCUCGGAGCACGCAACCCCAGCUGGACUUCCCUCACUGUAGCUGGCAGCUUUGCAGCCGUCACUCCAGAUGGGCUGCCACUGCCAUCAAUAUUUAAGAUAUGUUGCCUUGUUUGGGAAAUCCAUAAAGUCUUUGCUUUAUGGCAGAUGAAUAUAGUAAAGAAAAGGAGUUAAAUUUAAUUUUGUAGCGAUGUAGUCCAUAGUGACAACUGGAGAAAAUGCUGCAAGUUUGUUAGGAGGCUAAGUCUUACCGAAAGAGAACUGCCAUUGAUACCUAUAAGAUUUAGUCAUGAUCACAAAAUUAGGACUGGAUAGGGAGUACAAACAGCUGAGACAAAAACUAUGAUCGACAGGCACCAUAAUUUUCAAUCAAAUAGCCUCAAAUCCGUACCUUCAAGUGACAAUAGGGAUGUAUCGCAGGUAGAGAAAUUUAUGGUGUGAUUAGUGGAAGAUGUAUGUGUGUGUGUUUGUGUGUACUUAUAUAGUCUUAGCAUAAGUGUAGUUAUUGGCUUACAUAGAUGUGUUUAGUUAGUUCCUAUUAAAACUGCUAUGGAGAAUUUUGUAGAGGUUGAGAGAUCAAAGGGUCUGGAAAAAUGUGGCAUUAAUUCAAGCCAGAUGGGAUCAAUAAUUCUGGAGACAAAUAGUUACAAAUUAUUGUAACUAUUGCAAAGCCCAAAACCUUGAGAGACAGAAUUUUGCAGCUUUAGACCACUGGGAAUAAAAAUACGUUGUUUUGCAGUGUGUUGAUGGUUUAAAUUUUUGACACCUACUGCACUGUCAGUCAGUCUGAACUCUUCUGCCAACUGACAGACACAUCAUUCUAGAGAUGAAGCAAUGGAUUCAAAUAGUUUUUUUUUUUUUUUAACUUUUUUAGAUUAUCUUUCUUCUUUCCUCAAAUACAGAUCAAAACCUAGGGAGGUGACUUUUGUCUUCUUUACUUCGUUAACCUAAAACUGAGGAGAAUUUUAAGUUUGUAAAUUCUGAAUGUGAACAUUUCAGAGGCUGAAUUUCUAUAACUCACAAUCAUGCCGCAGGACAAUAACACAUAGCCAAUAACUUAGAUCUGUGUUCCUUUACUUAGAUUUGUUUGCUAAGGAAAACUAUGGAAACCAUUGUUUCUUCUGAAAGCCAAACUCAGCAUUUGAGAGCAUUUAGUAUUUAGCCGAGUGGUAGAGCAGCAAACUCAUUUUGAGUAAGAUAUUUAAAGAAGGAGCACCAUAUGUCAUCAGCUGGCAUAAUUUAACUUGCAAAUCACAUGUUGGCAAGGGCUAGUUGGCAGCAGAUGGCUGAACUCUUGUGUUUCAGACCCCAAACCUAUCCUUUCCCAUUUUGUGUUAGAAAUCUAAUUAAAAGCCUUUUUAGCACCAUCAGAUUAAUUAUAAACAAGCCUCUUUAUCUGGUAGAAAACUGACCUAUGUUUAUCAACCUUCCCCCCAAGUCGUCUAUUUUCCAAGAUAUUCUUCAAGAAGUACUUUUCUCCAAGCUCAUUUGUUCAAAUGAAACACACUUAAUCUUUGUAUCUUAAAUCCCAUGAGCUACUUCUUAGGCCAAAUAUGAGUCACUUAUUUACUAUUUAGGACAUAAACUGCUAUUAACUUAAAACUACUUGCUAAUUGAAUUAGUACCUUUAGUCAAUUUGGUGAAAUUUGUUGAUAGACAAUCUUCUUUCAGUUAUAUAUUUGCCAUUGAAAACAAGAUUUUAUAAAGCGUAAAGUCUUUUAUCAUAUGUUGGUACAUUAAAUAUCAGAAAAAAGGACAUGUGUUUCAUUAAUUUGCCUGUCACUCUACUAGUUUAUGAUAAGAGGACUGACAUUUCUGUACCAUCUGUUUGUAUAUGACAUAAAAAAGCUAUAUGUGCUUAGUUAUGGACCGAAGUAUUUAGACAGAGUAAAUCCACAAGCAUUUGCUCAACAUUUUGAUAAGUAUUAGGUUAUUUCUCACAAAGAAUUUUGUUAUUAUUAGAUAUUUUUUAUUUUAAAAUUUUGUUGUAAAUUGAAAAAUUAUAAUUAUACAUAUUUUAGUGGUAAACAGUGAUGUUAUGAUAUAUGUAUGCAACAUGAAAUGAUUAACUCAUUAAUCAUAGAUAAUUAGCAUAUCUAUCACUUCACAUACUUGUCUUUUUUUGGUGAAAACAUUUAAAUAUGUAAAAUUCAAGAAAAGCAUAAGCUUUUAUAAAAGGUGUGGGAAUAAGUGACUAUUUCUUUCCCAACAUACGGAUGAAUUGUACUAGUGGUUAAAAAAAGGAGAGUUAUCUUCUGGCUUUUGCUUAGGAUGUAAAAGGCUGGUCAGGGCAUCCUUUGUACCCUUAUAAUAUAGAAAAUAGAUCAUCUGUAAAUUCAUAGUUGUUCUUGGAUUCAUCAGAGAGCUGAGGUUUUGGGGCAGCCAACUAACCCAAAAUCUAAAGGAAGAUAUUCACCUGAAAGGAGACACAGACUAUGAGCAUUUGCUUUUUUGCAGCAGAUGCUGGACCCCAUAAAAUGUGUUCAGAAGAAUGCAACUACAAUUUUUGACAAAUUGCUAAAAACUGACUUUGUUUUAGCAUGAGUGCAUAGAAUCCCUGGGAGCUGCAGUCAGAAGGGGAAAUUGCAGGUAUGUGCAUGAUCACCACAGAGCUCACCAGGUACUUACAAGAGAGAUUAAGAGCAUGGUGGGAGUCCUGAGAAAGCCUUCAUCUUGAUGCAGGCACAGGAGUGGGGAACAAAAGAUGUUGUGGAAGAGGAAAAGGAAAAGGCAGAAAGCCUUACCAAGAACCUUCUCCCCUACUUCUCUACAGAGUAAAAGACAAGCUUCUGUGGAAAGGGCAACAAACACUAUCACCCUCAGACCAGAGGUGAACAUCCUUUGCAGCAAGGUGAAAGAGAUACAAAACACCCUCUGCCCUUGAAGGAGAGACAGGAGACGCCUCUGUUGGCUUCUCUGCUGCUUAACAGAAGUCAUGAGAUGCCUGGGUAACUGACAAAGAACAAAGGACAGUAAUAGCAGUAGCCAGAGUAUCAGCAUAAUUUCCUCAUGCCUGUUCCCCAGACCCUGACAUUCAGAGGACCAGGUGACUCCUAUAGACACGUAAGGGUAUGGAAACUCCCUGACUUAGUUUUCAGCAUUCCAAGAAUUGCCCCGCAAGAAAAAAUGGCCAACACGAUAUCUGCCCACCUCUCGGUGGUUUCAGAGUCUCUGUGAUCUUGGCACCUUAAGUUCUAGCAGCUUCAGCCAGUCUCUAAUGCCUCAAAUCUAAACUUUUUCUAUUUUCCCUGUAUUUCACGUGGGUUUUCUUUUCCUUGAGUUGCUUGCAAGAUGCUUCAACUUAGCCACACCUGGAAUAUAUUACAUAUUUGUUUCUUGUUUAUUUUCCAUCUUCUUCUUUAGGAACGUAAGCUCUGUGAAGUUCGGUUACUUUGGCUUCUUCUCUAAUAAAUCCCCAGUGUCUUGAAAAGCACGUGGCAAUUGGUAGGCACUUAAUAAUGUUAAGUAAAUAGACAAUAGACAGCUGAGUUCACAUAGGUAAAAAAUAAUAAAACCACAAUUUAAAAAUUUUGUUUUCUAUCUUGAUGCCUACUGACAUAUAUAGUAGUUUCUACAUUUACCCGUAUCUCUGUUGGUACAUGUUUUCUUAGUAAAAAGAGUGCAUAUUUUUAGCACAUUGGUUUAUUAGUGCAUAUUUAUGUCUUUAGCUAUAAUCAAGAGGAGAUGUAUGAAUGUUCUUUGAGUUUAGAAAGAGUUACUUUAUUCUCUAGGACCCCAAAAAGGUGUAAACAAACAGAUUAUUUUAUGCACACAUCUGAUUCUUUCCUUUCUUGUAGAGUCCUUUCAAGUCUCUGCAGCUUCAAGCUUGCUGACUUCUUUGAUCAAAAACUGCACUCAUUUUGGAACCAGUUAAAAGGUUGUGUUUUAUAGGAAGUCUUUUAAGAGUUUUUUUCCAGGUGACUCAGUUACUCUCAUCUCUGUGUCGGUUCUUCUGUUAUAGAACUUAUUAUAUUGCCUUUUAGUUAUUUGUUUACAUGUCUGGGUUUCCACCUAAUUACUGAGCUCGUUACAUAAAUAUCUUUGUAUCCUUAGUACCUAGCACACAGCCAGGCGCAUAGAAGUAUCUUAGAAAAUAUUGGCUGGAUGCAUUAUUAAGCUAAGAAUGUUGUCUAGCUUGGGAGUAUGUACAUUUUCAAAAGAUGACAACGAAAUGACACUUUCUAAUUUUGGGAUUUUAGUUAGCAAUUCUCUGUGUAUAAGAGCUAUUGGGAUAGCAGAGAGGCCUUCUCAGAACCACUGGACUCUAUUAUUCUGUUUAUUCCUGAACUUACAAACUUUAAAUAUCUUUUUAUAGCUGAUAAUUCUAUGAAUCAGCCUUAACAUUCAGAGGUGGGGCAAAUGGUGUCAUGUAGGUGGUGUAAUUUAAAGGAAACCAGUAAGAUUUUCCUUCCUCUAAAUUUCCUUUAUUUGUGUUUGAGAUUCCAUAUAUCUAUUGCCUUGUUUUAGCUCUGCAGUCAUGCUGUAGACUAAUCUUAAAACAGAAAUCUGUAGAGACAUGCAUUAAUUUAUUAACCAGAUCAUUUAUCUUCAUGGUAGGAGAAAUCUGGAGAGGCAGGAGCUCUGUAUACCUGGAGAAAGGUAGGAACGACAGGAAGGGAAGAGCAGAGAAAGCAAGGAUGAUAAUUAGGGACGCCAAAGACCAAAUGUGAGUUAUUGACACCUCUGUCAAAAUUUAAUCUUCCCUUGAGGUGGUAUUUUUAUAUAAUAUUGUCCUAACCUGCCAAAAGAGGUGAUGCAAAUAGUACUAUAAACAUCUUUGUGUUUAUUUAGUGGAAUAUUAUAUGUAUUAUAUUAUGAUCCAGAUGGGGAAAAGAUUAGGGUUUCAAAAAGCAUAUAAAGGCCACUUAGUAACAAAUUUACAGAGAUGAAAAUAUCCCAGUGUUUUCUGUUUCUCAUUUAACUAUUCAAAUCACAUAUGAAGAUAGCUGUUUUAUCCUAUUUUUGCUCUUUUUACCACCACAUGGUAAUAAUUAAAAGACCUUUACUAUAAAUCACCCAGUUGUCUAUAGAUUUUGGGUUGCUUUUCAUAGGUUGAUGACAAUGUAAGUGCCUUGGACUGUAAGUACUACCAUUUGGCAUAAUCUUGCUCUAUACUUGCAAAAUAAUAUUCUUUUAUUAUAGAAAUGGACUACUGUCUCUCACCAGCAAUCUUUAAAGGAUACAGAUACAGGUAAAAAGAUGGUGACUCAAGGCUUAGAUAAGUUGGCCACCACCCACAUUCAUAUCUAUAAGCCUUUUCUCUGUAUACGCUUAGAAUAUGGAGCUAUGUUUUCUAUGUAUGUGAUAUAAUUAAGUAACCCUAAGCUUCUAUGAAAAAAAUACAUUUUUGCUUUGAAGAAUUUAUCUAACAGGGGACUCAGCAUCUGGAGGGAGUAAGUUAUAACCAACCCAAGAAUUUUUUUGUCAGUUCUUCUGCCCUCAUCUCCCCCAAUAAUAUAUAGAACUUGAACCCAUUUCUAUCCUUACCCAGUCUCUUUGUCUUCCUGGUGGAACACUAAGGAGCUCACAGUUCUCACUUCUAGGAGACAAAAGUAUCCAGGGAUUUGAAGCACAGAAUCCAGACUUUGUCUCUUAAUAACUGUAAUCUUGGUCAAGAUAUCUAAUCCCCAGAUUCCAUCUGCUCAUCUGUUAAAGUGAGGUUUAAAAACAGUACCUACCUAUAGGGUUGUAGUGAGGGUUAAAUAAGAUAAGGCACACAAAGCACAAUGCUGGAAAACAACAAACAUUUCAUAAAUAAUAGUUGCUAUUAUUCUUAUAGUUAGUGUAAUAGUAUUCCCCCUUCAUGCCCCUCAUGUUUCCAUGAAGGGGAGAGAAUUACUACUUCACUCUCUAGAAAAAAUUACAGUGGGUUGGGGAGAGAACCUCUAUCCUUUCUCUUUUUAUUCCUACCCAUGGGUGGGAGAGUGAAUAAUUUUAUUUGGAACAUGGAAGUCCUAAUGUGUCAAUUUCAGCUCCUUAUCACUUCCCAGAUAUAAUUUGUCCACAGCACAUACAAUUCAGGUGUUCCUUUCACCAAGCCUGCCUCAAUAGACAAGGCUUGUGGUUAUCCAGAUAUGCCAAUGUCUGGUUUAGGAUAAAGCCUAAACAAGCCACUUUAACUACAGAUCUUGAGCUAUAUUCUGCAAUAAGCUUUAUCAGUAGUGUGAUCAUUUUAUAUCCAUGUGUCCAACUUUCCUUUCUUCCUAUUUGUUUUACAGUUGAAUGAGGAAGGUAAAAAGGGCUGUUUAUUUGCUUUCCUGUCCCCCCAAGUUUUUGUUCUCUAAAUCAUUGCUGUGUCCUUGGGUGCUCUUAACUGCAAUUAUCACCAUGGAAUUCCUUUAUAUUUUGAGCCUUAGGCAGUUUUCUCCAUCUGCUGGCUGUGCACUUGCCAGGCAGUGGCCAUUGCCCUUAUUGAACUGGUUCCACAAAUGCCUUUGGCCUGCUCCCAUCACAGCUGCUGAGCUGAUGUGAGAGAUGGUGCUGCCUUAGACACUUUCUCAGUGUUUGUUCCUGCCACUUCCACUGUUGCCAUGGCAGACAUAGGUGCCUUCUCCAGAAGCAGUUAGUAUCUUCUAGUCCUGUGCACCCUGUCUGGGCCUCUGGCGCUCUCCUCUGCAACAGAAGUAAGACACUUCUCCAAAUAUUUAGGACACGCAUUGUGUUGAAUCUACCCACAUUGUGAGAAACGUCACUUUUCUAUUCCCAUGCACAUUUCCCCCCCAUUGGAAGCACAGAUUUUCUCCUUAGAAGCACUCCCAUUAUAGAGUAUGCACCCUUAAUUCUUUCCUUUUGGGUAUCUUCUCCCCUAUAGUAAGAAGAAACCUUCCUUCUAGAUUUAGCUGACAGCUGCUGAAACGAAUACCCUGAUCAAGGAUUGUGAGGCCGGAAGCAAAGGCAUAUUGUCAGUCACGCAGGAAUUUUUUGGCCCAUGUUUUGUGCAAACAGCUGCUGCAUUUUCAAUUUUGAACUUGGCAGACCUUAUUUUAAAUCUGCUUUGCCAAAAACUGUGGCUCUUUUGCCUUAUUUUUCUUUUCUCCCAAUUGGAAAAAAAGAAAGGGUCAAAUAGAGAGCUAAAGUGGGGUCAAUAUGGAGUUGAAUCUCUAGCAAAUGCUACUAUGUAUUUAUCAGCAUCACAUAUUUUGGGGGUAUUUGUGUGGCCAGUCCAUUUAGGUAUGUAUGUAUGUAGGUAUGUGUGUAGGUAUGUAUGGAGCAAAUAAAUCAUAGGCAACCAUGAAAUUUAUGGUUUGUUAUGGUUUUCUAAUGUCUGAGGAGAUUUCUGGUCUAGUAAAAUGCAUAUAUAUAAGUUCCCUUGCAACCCUGUAAUGGUGUUUAUUUCUUUUCCUAAGAUUUCUUAUAUCAAAUAUUCUUCUUGAAAUCAUUCGCCACCAGUUGGUUUUAAAAAGUCAGGAAGAUAAUUUAUGACACAUGAGACUCAAAAGUCUCCAUUUUUUUGUUGUUGCUAUUCAAUGGUUCCUAAUUUCCUACAGAAUAAAUUUCUAACCUUUAUCUGGGUAUAAAGGGAAUGCCUUUCAAUACCCGGCAUGAAACUCUUUCCACCUUGCAUCCUGGAGCACCUCUUUCUUGCCUCCUCCUUAACUUCUUUGUCAUCUUCCUGUUUCCUGGUGCCCAUAAUUCUAACUGAGUGAUUUUUGGGGGGGAACAUGUCAUGCACUUUUAUGCCUCUGAGAAUUUCUUCAUGAUAUUUGCAUCAGAUUUUACUUUAAAUUUUUUUUUCUUUCCCUUGCCUGCUUGGAGAAUUCAUACUCAUCCUUCAGGACCCAACACAAACAAUACCUUUAUAAAGUCGUUAAGUUAAUUGUUCAAUAUUUCUUUGUUUGAAUGUUUGCCUUAUCAACUAGUGAGCUCUGCAAGGGUGAGAUAUAAACUUAUUCACCAAGUUCCUUCCCAGCACUUAUGCUUAUUGUAUUGGGGUGGAAAGAGGAAGAGGAAACAGACAUCUGUCUUCUUAUAUGACUGCCUGCUAUGGCAUCACUUUUCCUAUUUGUUAUUACCACAGGUACAAACUGUUGCCUAAGGAUACAGGGUGUGUGGCUGGUGGCCUCAACAGGCCCCACGGCUCAGGCACUCAGACCCAAGCUGGUCCCUCAGACUAAAUGGUUUUCCUGGGAACUCUGACUCUGGCCACAAGAUCAAGACUGACAAAUUUCCUUUCUCUGUUUAUGGAGGGAGACUUCACAACAUUCACUGAAAGAGGAGCAAAGGACCUGGUUUUUGCCAUGACUGGCUUUGGCCCCGUGAAUGAAUGUUUUUCUGGCAUUGGAAAGCGGAUAGCAAAGAGAGCAGAACCACAAAUGGGCUAUGAGGAAAUGUGUUCAAUGAAGAAAACAAAAUCUCUGACAAGAUCCAACAUAGGACAACAUCUCAGCAUCUUCUGUGAUUUGUGAACCCAAGUAAAGCACUUCUUAGAGUUAUCUGGCACAUUCGCAACUAAUAGCUUUCUGUGAAUAAAUACUGUGGCAACC
rnacentral:lncRNA from 1 species